rnacentral:lncRNA from 1 species
GUGUUCCAAUUAUGACAGAAAAUGUGACACUUGUGGCUUAUUUCACUUAACAUGAUGAUCUCCAGUUCUAUCCAUUUUCAUGUAAAUCACUUCAUUUUGUUAUUUUGAAAAGUCCUGAACAAUUAAUGUAUAUUAGUUUUCUUAAAUAAUGGGUUUCAUCGUGACAUUUCUUAUACAUGUAUAUAACAAUGUGAGUUCAAGAGGACACUGGCUGCUCUAGGACUGGAGAUACACAUAGUGGUGAGCCAUCACUCAAAUCAGACUUGGGCCAUCUAUAAGAGCAACAGGAGCUCUUAAUGGCUAAGCCAACUUUCCAGCCCCUAUUUAUUGUUCCUGAUUUGAAUUCUAUGAUUUUAAUUUGCAUUUCUCUCAUGAUGUGGUCUUAAUCAUUUUCUUAUAUGAUUAGUAAAUAUUUGUGUAUUUUCUUUCAGAAACGUCUAUUUAGUUUUCUUUUUGUCAUUUACAAAAAUCAGAUAGAGAUUUAAUUUUGAGAUUUAGUAGUUUAAAAAUUCUUUGGUAGUUUCAUACAUGGAUGCAAUGUAU